CCUACGGGGGACAGCAGUGAGGAAUAUUGGUCAAUGGACGAGAGUCUGAACCAGCCAAGUAGCGUGAAGGAUGACUGCCCUAUGGGUUGUAAACUUCUUUUAUAUGGGAAUAAAACGUUCCACGUGUGGGAUUUUGUAUGUACCAUAUGAAUAAGGAUCGGCUAACUCCGUGCCAGCAGCCGCGGUAAUACGGAGGAUCCGAGCGUUAUCCGGAUUUAUUGGGUUUAAAGGGAGCGUAGGUGGAUUGUUAAGUCAGUUGUGAAAGUUUGCGGCUCAACCGUAAAAUUGCAGUUGAAACUGGCAGUCUUGAGUACAGUAGAGGUGGGCGGAAUGCGUGGUGUAGCGGUGAAAUGCUUAGAGAUCACGAAGAACUCCGAUUGCGAAGGCAGUUCACUGGACUGCAACUGACACUGAGGCUCGAAAGUGUGGGUAUCAAACAGGAGUAGAUACCCGGGUAGUC
rnacentral:rRNA from 1 species